AAAAGGUUGCGCUUCUCAGCAAUCUUCAAAAAGAGUUCAUAAGAUCCCAUUAUAUAAAGGAUGUUGAAUUUGCAUAUUCAAUAGUGAACAACUCUGGUAACUAAAUAAAGGAGGCAUCUACCCACAAUCAUAAGAGAAUUACAUCCUGUACUUGCUAAACUGAUCCUUCUCCUAGUAGUUGGCGUCCUCCCCCUCCAUAAAUAUGGCAGAAAUCAUCCAUCAACAGAGCUUAAAACAGGAUGGAAGGUGAAAAAAGCUCGUCAAGUUGAACCCACAAGCAUGGACGCUAUAUGAUAUUAGAAGAAAAAGCAUGGAAAAUGUCAUAGCUAGUAGAGCAGGAGCAUUGCUACUCAAACCUAAAAAAAUUGAGGAUUGCAACUCAGAUCUAAUAAAAAGUUCACAUCAUUGAAGUUCAUAUGAACAUCAAUUCACUGUAACUACCUUUCUGGGCGGGUCACCUCCCUCUCGUGUAAACCGCAGCCACCGCCCAGCGCCGCCGCCUUCCUCUUCUCUCCUGAGCACUUGCCACCGACCUCCGUGCCCUCGCCUCUCGCCUCCGGCCUCAGUGCGAACAUCAAUUCACUGUAACUACCUUUCUGGGCGGGUUGGUGGGCGGAGCAGAUGGCUUCGGUGGAAUGAAUUUGACAAAUGAAUCAACCUUCCU
rnacentral:lncRNA from 1 species